GACGAACGCUGGCGGCAGGCCUAACACAUGCAAGUCGAGCGGAGCGGCGGACGGGUGAGUAAGGCCUAGGAAUCUGCCUGGUAGUGGGGGAUAACGUCCGGAAACGGGCGCUAAUACCGCAUACUAUCAGAUGAGCCUAGGGCGUAUUAGCUAGUUGGUGGGGGAAAGGCCUACAAAGGCGACGAUCCGUAACUGGUCUGAGAGGAUGAUCAGUCACACUGGAACUGAGAAACGGUCCAGACUCCUACGGGAGGCAGCAGUGGGGAAUAUGGGACAAUGGGCGAAAGCCUGAUCCAGCCAUGCCGCGUGUGUGAAGAAGGCCUUCGGAUUGUAAAGCACUUUAAGUUGGGAGGCGUUACCAACAGAAGAAGCACCGGCUAACUCCGUGCCAGCAGCCGCGGUAAUAC
rnacentral:rRNA from 1 species